AACGCAUUUUCACCACCCUUUCGCAAUACGCCAAAAGCAUCAUAGUUGCAGGUUAAGUUAUUUAAAUAACAGACCCAUGACAAUUAUAUUUUAAGAUAUUAGUGUUGCCUUGCGACUUUGUCGUAGUGUUUGCUCGGGUUGGAGAACAUAUUUAUCCAUGGAUCUUGGGUGCAAUGAACUAUCAUUAAUUAUCUUAUUUUAUAAGAUGAUUGCAGAGAGGAUGCCUUCGUGCUCUUCGUAUGUAGUUAAUUGCAAGGAUCGAUGGAACAUUA